rnacentral:rRNA from 1 species
CCUACGGGGUGCAGCAGUAGGGAAUUUUGCGCAAUGGGCGAAAGCCUGACGCAGCAACGCCGCGUGAUUGAUUAAGCCCUUCGGGGUGUAAAGAUCUGUCAGUGGGGACGAAACUUGACGGUACCCACAGAGGAAGCACCGGCUAACUCCGUGCCAGCAGCCGCGGUAAUACGGAGGGUGCAAGCGUUGUCCGGAAUCAUUGGGCGUAAAGAGUUCGUAGGUGGCAUAUUAAGUCUGGUGUUAAAUGCAGAAGCUCAACUUCUGUUCGGCACUGGAUACUGGUAAGCUUGAAUGCGGUAGAGGUAAAGGGAAUUCCUGGUGUAGCGGUGAAAUGCGUAGAUAUCAGGAGGAACAUCGGUGGCGUAAGCGCUUUACUGGGCCGUAAUUGACAUUGAUGCUCGAAAGUGUGGGUAUCAAACAGGAUUAGAUACCCGUGUAGUC